AUACGUAGGUGGCGAGCUUUGUCCGGAAUUACUGGGCGUAAAGGGCGUGUAGGCGGUCUUGCAAGUCAUAAGUGAAACUCCUGAGCUCAACUCGGGCGCUGCUUCUGAAAUUGCAGAUCUUGAGUGCUGGAGGGCAUAGUGGAAUUCCUAAUGGAGCGGUAAAAUGUGCAGAUAUUAGGAAGAACACCGCAGGCGAUGGCGGCAAUCUGGACAGUAACUGAAGCUGAGGCGCGAAAGCGUGGGGAGCAAACAGUAUUAAAUGCCCUGGUAGUCCACGCCGUAAACGAUGAAUACUAGGUGUAGGGGGUAUCGACUCCCUCUGUGCCGCAGUUAACACAAUAAGUAUUCCGCCUGGGGAGUACGGCCGCAAGGUUGAAACUCAAAUGAAUUGACGGGG
rnacentral:rRNA from 1 species